rnacentral:rRNA from 1 species
AGCUCCAAUAGCGUAUAUUAAAGUUGUUGCAGUUAGAACGCUCGUAGUCGGAUUUCGGGGCGGGCCGACCGGUCUGCCGAUGGGUACGCACUGGUCGGCGCGUCCUUCCUUCCGGAGACCGUGCCUACUCUUAACUGAGCGGGGGCGGGAGACGGAACGUUUACUUUGAAAAAAUCAGAGUGUUUCAAGCAGGCAGCUCGCUCUUGCAUGGAUUAGCAUGGGAUAAUGAAAUAGGACUUUGGUGCUAUUUUGUUGGUUUCGAACACCGAAGUAAUGAUGAGAAGGGACAGUCAGGGGCACUCGUAUUCCGCCGAGAGAGGUGAAAUUCUCAGACCAGCGGAAGACGAACCACUGCGAAAGCAUUUGCCAGGGAUGUUUUCACUGAUCAAGAACGAAAGUA